rnacentral:rRNA from 1 species
GUUUUCUGGUUGAUCCUGCCGGACCUGACUGCUAUCGGAUUGAUACUAAGCCAUGCGAGUCGUUGUAGCAAUACAAGGCAUACGGCUCAGUAACGCGUAGUCAACCUAACCUAUGGACGGGAAUAACCUCGGGAAACUGAGAAUAAUGCCCGAUAGAACAUUAUGCCUGGAAUGGUUUAUGUUCCAAAUGAUUUAUCGCCAUAGGAUGGGACUGCGGCCUAUCAGUUUGUUGGUGAGGUAAUGGCCCACCAAGACUAUUACAGGUACGGGCUCUGAGAGGAGUAGCCCGGAGAUGGGUACUGAGACACGGACCCAGGCCCUAUGGGGCGCAGCAGGCGAGAAAACUUUGCAAUGUGCGAAAGCACGACAAGGUUAAUCCGAGUGAUUUCUGCUAAAGAGAUCUUUUGUUAGUCCUAGAAACACUAACGAAUAAGGGGUGGGCAAGUUCUGGUGUCCGCCGCCGCGGUAAAACCAGCACCUCAAGUGGUCAGGAUGAUUAUUGGGCCUAAAGCAUCCGUAGCCGGCUCUGUAAGUUUUCGGUUAAAUCUGUACGCUCAACGUACAGGCUGCCGGGAAUACUGCAGAACUAGGGAGUGGGAGAGGUAGACGGUACUCGGUAGGAAGUGGUAAAAUGCUUUGAUCUAUCGAUGACCACCUGUGGCGAAGGCGGUCUACCAGAACAUGUCCGACGGUGAGGGAUGAAAGCUGGGGGAGCAAACCGGAUUAGAUACCCGGGUAGUCCCAGCUGUAAACUAUGCAAACUCAGUGAUGCAUUGGCUUGUGGCCAAUGCAGUGCUGCAGGGAAGCCGUUAAGUUUGCCGCCUGGGAAGUACGUACGCAAGUAUGAAACUUAAAGGAAUUGGCGGGGGAGCACCACAAGGGGUGAAGCCUGCGGUUCAAUU